CAUGCAUGCAGGGGUAAUUCUGCCACUGAACAUUUACGGUGGAUACUCCCGUGUAUGUUUCAGUUGCUCGGGAUAUUGUGAUAGAGCCCAUGCGUCAGGAUUCAUGUUCAGAAAGCCAAGAUAUAAAUAUUUUCAGCCCGGACCAUCCCUUUAAUACAGGAUUCAAUAUUAUCACCGUACCACAGCAUUGAAAAAAGUACAUAACCAGUAUGAUGCCUAGAGUUUGAGGCCAUCACGCACUGACUACAGAGCAUCGUCACUUGGCGUUUUCAGACGGAUACAUCUAUCUCAUUACCUCUGUCAUCGGAUCAUGGCUUGCCCAUGCACAAUGCAUGCACUAUCUCCGCUCCCUGUGGAGUAUUCCAACAGAGUUUCAAAACUUAAUCCCUAUAGUGGAACAUGGAAGCUAACAUGACAUGGUAAUGGAUGCUGGCAGAAGUCUGUCAUUACGCCUUUCUGAAAUGACCUCUGGAUGACCCAACGUCUAGAUGACAACAGGGAAAGGUUCAACAGGCUAGCAGGCAUAAUGAGUUACCAAGAA